rnacentral:rRNA from 1 species
CCUGGAUGCUUGCAUCCAGGGGUUGUAGGACUGAUGUUGAGUUACAAAGGUAUAAGAUAGCAGAAACAGUUGGGAAGCUGUUCCAAAGAGGGUGACAGGCCCGUAAGCGAAAUCUUGUACUCUCUAAUCAGGAUCCUGAGUACGGCCCAGCACGUGAAAUUGGGUCGGAAUCUGGGAGGACCAUCUCCCAAGGCUAAAUACUAACUAGUGACCGAUAGCGAACAAGUACCGUGAGGGAAAGGUGAAAAGAACCCCGGAAGGGGAGUGAAAUAGUUCUUGAAACCGUGUGCUUACAAGAAGUUCGAGGCCGUUAAUGGCUGAGAGCGUGCUUUUUGUAGAAUGAACCGGAGAGUUACGAUUGCGUGCAAGGUUAAGGUGCAAAGACUGGAGCCGUAGCGAAAGCGAGUCUUAAUAGGGCGAAUCAGUACGUAGUUGUAGACCCGAAACCGAGUGACCUAUCCAUGGUCAGGUUGAAGGUGGGGUAAUACCUACUGGAGGACCGAACAAGUGGGUGUUAAAAAACCCUUUGAUGAACUGUGGAUAGCGGUGAAAUUCCAAUCGAACUCGGAGAUAGCUGGUUCUAUCCGAAAUACAUUUAGGUGUAGCCUUGCAAUUAGCUUACUGGAGGUAGAGCACUAUUUGGUCUAGGGGCCCUUCAAGGGUUACCAAAAUCAGAUAAACUCCGAAUGCCAGCUAAGUAUGUGCAGGAGUCAGACGG